AUUGAACGCUGGCGGCAUGCCUUACACAUGCAAGUCGAACGGUAACAGGCCGCAAGGUGCUGACGAGUGGCGAACGGGCGAGUAAUGCAUCGGAACGUGCCCAGUCGUGGGGGAUAACUGCUCGAAAGAGCAGCUAAUACCGCAUACGACCUGAGGGUGAAAGCGGGGGACCGUAAGGCCUCGCGCGAUUGGAGCGGCCGAUGUCAGAUUAGCUAGUUGGUGGGGUAAAGGCCUACCAAGGCAACGAUCCGUAGUUGGUCUGAGAGGACGACCAGCCACACGGGGACUGAGACACGGCCCAGACUCCUACGGGAGGCAGCAGUGGGGAAUUUUGGACAAUGGGCGCAAGCCUGAUCCAGCAAUGCCGCGUGCAGGAAGAAGGCCUUCGGGUUGUAAACUGCUUUUGUCAGGGAAGAAAUCUUCUGGGCUAAUACCCCGGGAGGAUGACGGUACCUGAAGAAUAAGCACCGGCUAACUACGUGCCAGCCGCCGCAGUAAGAC
rnacentral:rRNA from 1 species